UGUCCUGGUUGGUAUAUUGUUCUUAUGUUUUUUUACAAACAUUGUGCUUGUGUUUAUUGUCUGGUAUAUUGUGAUUACUUCAAAUUCGUACACACAUGUUGUUUUAAUAUGAAUUAUAUUCUUGAGCACAACCAAAAUGUCUUACUACGUAUCUAAAUGGUUUGUAGAGACGGGAAAGGGGAUCUAUUUUCCCUUUCUGUGCUCUAUCGUGGUAGUCUUGGAAGUUUGGCUGUAUACCAAAUCGGUGGCAUGCCCAGCACCGAAGCUUUGGAGGAGAUGCUAGACCAGCUCUGAGUGAGGAGGGGACGGGCGUUCAAGCCGCCCAUCUUGCGCCACCCACCGGCGAGGUUGCAUCUUGCCGAUUUGGAUCCGGUGAGGCAGACUGGCCACCAAGGAGGCCACGGGAGAAUAUGAGCGAUAACUACUUGUUAGCUUCCUCAGUGCUCUGCUCUCCUAAUCGUGGCACCAGGAGUGAGAGAUGUGUCUUCGGGCUGGACGACCAUUUUCUCUGUUGUCGUCUGAGCGGAGUAGAAUGGAGUCUGCAGGUGGAGGCGAGCUAUGGGCUUCCUCAUUGUUGGUGUUGUCGGCUUCCAGCUAUGUAAGGUGCUACAGAUUUCAAUCAUUCCUACUUCCUCCAUAGCGGCUGAUUGUCUACAGGUCUUAGAGUCUUGUUGUUCUCGAAAAGUGGUGAUAUCAUAUCUUAGAAGAAGUCUGAUGCCUUACCUAAUUUGCUUAGUUACCAUGCGCCAUUCCAGUAAGUUCGGUAAAACAUUUGUUCUUCUGGUGUACCUUGCAUACUUCUCUAUCUAUCUCGGUCAUUUUUGGCGAUGUUUCUUCUGGUGAGUGUCUCCAUAUAUGGAGUAAGUCAAGUAUAACUAUUAUUUUACAUUGGUUAAUAAAAAUGAGUCAUGCUUCAUUAGUUCAUAAAUUAUAAAAGAUAGUGUUCCAUACCUGCCAAGAAGUUUGUGAGUUGCAGAUAUAUCUAGAUCUGUAUAUACUUGCAGCAGUGGUUGACUUUGGGCACUAUCCUAUUUAACCAUGAUUUUUUUUAAAAGUAACAGAAGAUGUUGUGACUUUAUUGGAUUUACUGCUAAACUCCACCAUUGUUGAUGUCACAAUAAGGAUAGUUUGGCUAUCGAGUACAUCCUCAUUCAAAAGAUAAGUAGAAUUUCCCCAUAGUGUAACUCUGAUUUUAUCACUCAUGAAGAGUUUAAGAUGGAAAAGUUAAUGUUAAUGCAAUGAUGGAAGUAAAAUUAAAGUCUUUGUUAUUAUACACUUACUCUGUCAGCGUAUAUACCUAAAUAGUUCAUCUCCCAUACACCCAAUUCUCUCAACAUGCAGCCUUCCACAUCACCAAUAUGCCAAAUCAGCAUUUUUAUUUUUAUUCUUCUAUUUUCUGUGCAGACCUAUCGUCUUGAUUCCACAUGCUUCAUUUGGGCGAGUAGUCCAAAACGGCAUGUGUAAAACUGGUGAUUAAUUACUCCAUAUCUAGAAAGAUUAGUUAGUUGAGUCUUAUUUGGAACUAUAUAGUAUAGGUAAACCUAAGCAUUGCUUAUCUUUCCCGGCAUGUUCUUGUACAGUUUCCUUGGAAGCAAACUCGAAGUAGUAAUCAGGAAAACAUUCUGAUGAUCCUUACCUUUGUAUUUCAUUGGUCCACUGGUGAUACUUUGUUGCUUUCACAACUUUAAAAUGGUAAGUGCAUAAACAUAAUUCUCUUUUAUCUUUGAUAAACAAUUGUGUAUCAACCUCCUCCACAUUUAUAGUAUCGUGAUAUUUUAGUGGUGACAGUAAAAUGCAUAGCUUGGCCCUGUCAAACAAUUACAAUAUAUUAGCACUUGUGGUUCAAAACAAUAGAACAAUCAGCAUGUAAAUAUAUACUCCCUCUGUUCCUAAAUAUAAUACCUUCUAGAGAUUCUAAUAUGUUCUACAUACGGAGCAAAAGGAGUGAAUCUACACUCCAAAAUAUGUCUAUAUACAUCCGUACGUAGUCCGUAUUGAAAUAUAUAAAAGGAUUAUACUUAGAAAAGGAUGGAGUAAAUAUAUAAAUAUUUUCAUCCAUGGAAGCUCAUAUGCUCAUCGGUCGGCGGAUUGAUUGAAUAUAUAUUCUCGUCACUUUCACUUGAGUGUCGUUUCUCCUAUCAUUGUUAAGGCACUAAGACUCUUACGCGACAUGGUGCUUUGGCUGCAAAACCAUUUGAAAAUGGUUUGUCAAUUGAUAAUAUCUCAUAGAUUUUAUCCUCAGUAAGUGAAUUCACUAAAUAAUAUUUACGAACCUUGAUUAUUCAGGAGAGGCAGCAACUCUGAAGGUUCGGCUGGCGUCGUGACAUCUAUCAUAAUUUUGGCUAAUUUGCGUUGCAUCGUUUGUUUCAUCGUGGCGGCAACUCAGAAGGUUUGGCUGGCGUUCAGACAUGUUCUGUCACAGUUUUGGCUGAUUUGCGUCACAUUGUUUGUUUCAUCACGGCAUCGGCAGAUUUCUAUAUUGUAGGUGGUCUGCUUGUCGGGCAGAUUUUGCUUCCUGGAUCUCUGGCAAAAAGCAGCCCUAUAUCUAUGUAGCGAACUUCUGGAUGUACUUUGUCCAUCAUGAUGCACUCCUCCAACAUAGUCCAAUCCUACCCUAAUUGCAUCCAUUGCACUUUGGUGUGGUGUUUGCCAUGCUCUUGGAUGCCGUCUAAUCACGCCCUUUUUGCAUCCAUCACACUUUGUCAUGGUGUUUAGACUCACGUGGAGCAUGAUAUGGAUCAUGCCCGAUCUCACUUGUGUUGUAGUACAUGGAAAAAAGUUUUGGCUUCUUGGGCGUUGCUGGACGUGGCCAGCUAGGUGUCUCUUUUUGUCCGUGUUAGCCGACCCCGAGUGGAGUUCUUUGGUUGAGUCCGUGUGUAUAGAUUUGGAAUUCCAACCACGUGUGGAGUUCUUUGCUUGAGUCCGUGUGUAGAUUUGGAACUAUGAAUAGUAGAUUUCAUAUAGUAUACUCUUCUUUGACAACUACUAUAUCGUACACCUAUACCUUUUGUGUGGCGGGUAUUUGUGGUUGUCUCGGACACAUUAAAAAGGCUGGCAUGUUCAGGAUGACAGGCGUGUCAGUGGUGCGUGACAAACAAAUUAUU